GCUGGCGUAGCACAGUUGGUAGUGCGCAUCACUCGUAAUGAUGAGGUCGGAGGUUCGAACCCUCUCGCCAGCACCA
rnacentral:tRNA from 1 species